CAGCCGCCGCGGUAAUACGUAGGGUGCAAGCGUUAAUCGGAAUUACUGGGCGUAAAGCGUGCGCAGGCGGUUCUAUAAGAUAGAUGUGAAGUCCCCGGGCUCAACCUGGGAACUGCAUUUGUGACUGUAGAGCUGGAGUGCGGCAGAGGGGGAUGGAAUUCCGCGUGUAGCAGUGAAAUGCGUAGAUAUGCGGAGGAACACCGAUGGCGAAGGCAAUCCCCUGGGCCUGCACUGACGCUCAUGCACGAAAGCGUGGGGAGCAAACAGGAUUAGAUACCCCUGUAGUCCCUGUCUCUUAUAC
rnacentral:rRNA from 1 species